CUAUGAGAGGUAUUGCUGCUGCCUCUGCCAGUGUAAUAGCUAGAUGUGUUGUGUGCUGCUGAGUUGUUGUUUCCCUAUGAGAGGUAUUGCUGCUGCCUCUGCCAGUGUAAUAGCUAGAUGUGUUGUGUGCUGCUGAGUUGUUGUUUCCCUAUGAGAGGUAUUGCUGCUGCCUCUGCCAGUGUAAUAGCUAGAUGUGUUGUGUGCUGCUGAGUUGUUGUUUCCCUAUGAGAGGUAUUGCUGCUGCCUCUGCCAGUGUAAUAGCUAGAUGUGUUGUGUGCUGCUGAGUUGUUGUUUCCCUAUGAGAGGUAUUGCUGCUGCCUCUGCCAGUGUAAUAGCUAGAUGUGUUGUGUGCUGCUGAGUUGUUGUUUCCCUAUGAGAGGUAUUGCUGCUGCCUCUGCCAGUGUAAAAGCUAGAUGUGUUGUGUGCUGCUGAGUUGUUGUUUCCCUAUGAGAGGUAUUGCUGCUGCCUCUGCCAGUGUAAAAGCUAGAUGUGUUGUGUGCUGCUGAGUUGUUGUUUCCCUAUGAGAGGUAUUGCUGCUGCCUCUGCCAGUGUAAAAGCUAGAUGUGUUGUGUGCUGCUGAGUUGUUGUUUCCCUAUGAGAGGUAUUGCUGCUGCCUCUGCCAGUGUAAUAGCUAGAUGUGUUGUGUGCUGCUGAGUUGUUGUUUCCCUAUGAGAGGUAUUGCUGCUGCCUCUGCCAGUGUAAAAGCUAGAUGUGUUGUGUGCUGCUGAGUUGUUGUUUCCCUAUGAGAGGUAUUGCUGCUGCCUCUGCCAGUGUAAUAGCUAGAUGUGUUGUGUGCUGCUGAGUUGUUGUUUCCCUAUGAGAGGUAUUGCUGCUGCCUCUGCCAGUGUAAUAGCUAGAUGUGUUGUGUGCUGCUGAGUUGUUGUUUCCCUAUGAGAGGUAUUGCUGCUGCCUCUGCCAGUGUAAUAGCUAGAUGUGUUGUGUGCUGCUGAGUUGUUGUUUCCCUAUGAGAGGUAUUGCUGCUGCCUCUGCCAGUGUAAUAGCUAGAUGUGUUGUGUGCUGCUGAGUUGUUGUUUCCCUAUGAGAGGUAUUGCUGCUGCCUCUGCCAGUGUAAUAGCUAGAUGUGUUGUGUGCUGCUGAGUUGUUGUUUCCCUAUGAGAGGUAUUGCUGCUGCCUCUGCCAGUGUAAUAGCUAGAUGUGUUGUGUGCUGCUGAGUUGUUGUUUCCCUAUGAGAGGUAUUGCUGCUGCCUCUGCCAGUGUAAUAGCUAGAUGUGUUGUGUGCUGCUGAGUUGUUGUUUCCCUAUGAGAGGUAUUGCUGCUGCCUCUGCCAGUGUAAUAGCUAGAUGUGUUGUGUGCUGCUGAGUUGUU